CCUACGGGUGGCAGCAGUGGGGAAUAUUGCACAAUGGGGGGAACCCUGAUGCAGCAACGCCGCGUGGGUGAAGAAGUCCUUCGGUAUGUAAAGCCCUGUUAGUAGGGAAGAAAAUGACGGUACCUGACCAAUCAGCCCCGGCUAACUACGUGCCAGCAGCCGCGGUAAUACGUAGGGGGCAAGCGUUAUACGGAUUUACUGGGUGUAAAGGGAGCGUAGGCGGGAAGGCAAGUCUGGGGUGAAAGCCUGUGGCCUAACGACGGGACUGCUGUGGAAACUGUGUGGCUGGAGUGCGGGAGGGGUAGGCGGAAUUCGUGGUGUAGCGGUGAAAUGCGUAGAUAUUAGGAGGAACACCGAUGGCGAAGGCGGCUUACUGGACUGUAACUGACGUUGAGGCUCGAAGGCGUGGGGAGCAAACAGGAUUAGAUACCCGUGUAGUC
rnacentral:rRNA from 1 species